rnacentral:rRNA from 1 species
UACAGAGGUCUCAAGCGUUGUUCGGAUUCAUUGGGCGUAAAGGGUGCGUAGGCGGCGCGGUAAGUCGGGUGUGAAAUCUCGGGGCUUAACUCCGAAACUGCAUUCGAUACUGCCGUGCUUGAGGACUGGAGAGGAGACUGGAAUUUACGGUGUAGCGGUGAAAUUCGUAGAUAUUGGGAAGAACACCGGUGGCGAAGGCGGCCAUCUGGACCGCAACUGACGCUGAGGCGCGGAAAGCGUGGGGAGCGAACGAGG